rnacentral:rRNA from 1 species
GACGGGGCCCGCACAAGCGGCGGAGCAUGCGGAUUAAUUCGAUGCAACGCGAAGAACCUUACCAAGGCUUGACAUACACCGGUAACGCCCAGAGAUGGGUGCCCCUUUGUGGUCGGUGGACAGGUGGUGCAUGGUUGUCGUCAGCUCGUGUCGUGAGAUGUUGGGUUAAGUCCCGCAACGAGCGCAACCCUCGUCCUAUGUUGCCAGCGGGUCAUGCCGGGGACUCAUGGGAGACUGCCGGGGUCAACUCGGAGGAAGGUGGGGAUGACGUCAAAUCAUCAUGCCCCUUAUGUCUUGGGCUUCACGCAUGCUACAAUGGCCGGUACAAAGGGCUGCGAUACCGCGAGGUGGAGCGAAUCCCAGAAAGCCGGUCUCAGUUCGGAUUGGGGUCUGCAACUCGACCCCAUGAAGUCGGAGUCGCUAGUAAUCGCAGAUCAGCAACGCUGCGGUGAAUACGUUCCCGGGCCUU